CCUACGGGGGGCAGCAGUGAGGAAUAUUGGGCAAUGGACGAGAGUCUGAACCAGCCAAGCAGCGUGAAGGAUGACUGCCCUAUGGGUUGUAAACUUCUUUUAUAUGGGAAUAAAACGUUCCACGUGUGGGAUUUUGUAUGUACCAUAUGAAUAAGGAUCGGCUAACUCCGUGCCAGCAGCCGCGGUAGUACGGAGGAUUCGAUCGUUAUCCGGAUUGAUUGGGUUUAAAGGGAGCGUAGGUGGAUUAUUAAGUCAGUUGUGAAAGUUUGCGGCUCAACCGUAAAAUUGCAGUUGAAACUGGCAGUCUUGAGUACAGUAGAGGCAGGCGGAAUUCGUGGUGUAGCGGUGAAAUGCUUAGAUAUCACGAAGAACUCCGAUGGCGAAGGCAGUUCACUGGACUGCAACUGACACUGAGGCUCGAAAGUGUGGGUAUCAAACAGGAUUAGAUACCCGGGUAGUC
rnacentral:rRNA from 1 species